GACGAACGCUGGCGGCGUGCUUAACACAUGCAAGUCGAGCGGUAAGGCCCUUUCGGGGGUACACGAGCGGCGAACGGGUGAGUAACACGUGGGUGACCUGCCCUCAGCUCUGGGAUAAGCCUGGGAAACCGGGUCUAAUACCGGAUAUGACUCCAUGACGCACGUUGUGGGGUGGAAAGCCUUGUGCGGCUGAGGAUGGGCCCGCGGCCUAUCAGCUUGUUGGUGGGGUGAGGCCUACCAAGGCGACGACGGGUAGCCGGCCUGAGAGGGCGACCGGCCACACUGGGACUGAGACACGGCCCAGACUCCUACGGGAGGCAGCAGUGGGGAAUCUUGCGCAAUGGGCGAAAGCCUGACGCAGCGACGCCGCGUGAGGGA
rnacentral:rRNA from 1 species